rnacentral:RNase_P_RNA from 1 species
UAACAAAAACAGGUGAUUGCAUCCAUUUUAAAUGGAUGAGGAAAGUCCGGACAUAAAUUAAAGACAGUGGAUAACGUCCACCUCAUCCCGCUCCAAAAUCAAUUUUUAAAAAUUGAUUUUGGAGCGGGAUGACGGGAAAGUGCCGCAGAGACUAUACUACUGGAACUUUUCCAGGAAAGGUGAAAAGUAAGCAAGUUUGGGUUGAGGCCUUAAAAAGCUUCAAACCUAUUGCUUUCGUGCGCUAGCGAUAGCGUGUCGUGGCAAACCCUGUCUUAUGCAAGGCCGUGUCCCUUCCCAAAAUUGAAAUUUUUGGUUUUAGCAUAUUUUUUUUGGAAGUUGAUCUUUUUAUUAUAUAUCUUGAUUUACAAGGAAUUUGUUCAGAAAGUUUCAAUUUUGGGAAGGGAAGAGCCGCUUGAGCAAAAUGGUAACAUUUUGCCCAGAUAAAUAAUCACCGUGCCCGGCUCUAAAAUUAAAAACCAAGACUUCUAAAAAUAAAAAUCGUCAAAAAAUUUUGAUUUUAGAGCCGGGCAUACAGAAUCCGGCUUAUAGUUUUUGUUAAACC